CACAAGAUGUAUGCUCUUGCUCGCUGUCGCCGCAGGGGAAUCCGGUGGGAAUCCGGAACUGUCCCGCAACGGUGUACGAGUGCGCCCGGAUUGCCGUACGGCCGUCUCGCGCGCCCCUGAAGUCCGAGGACCUGCCGACAGUACGCCCGCACC
rnacentral:ncRNA from 1 species